rnacentral:rRNA from 1 species
AUUGAACGCUGGCGGCAUGCCUUACACAUGCAAGUCGAACGGUAACGGGCCUUCGGGUGCCGACGAGUGGUGAACGGGUGAGUAAUGUAUCGGAACGUACCUUUCAGUGGGGGAUAACGUAGCGAAAGUUACGCUAAUACCGCAUAUUCUGUGCGCAGGAAAGCAGGGGAUCGCAAGACCUUGCGCUGAUUGAGCGGCCGAUAUCAGAUUAGCUAGUUGGUGAGGUAAAGGCUCACCAAGGCGACGAUCUGUAGCGGGUCUGAGAGGAUGAUCCGCCACACUGGAACUGAGACACGGUCCAGACUCCUACGGGAGGCAGCAGUGGGAAUUUUGGACAAUGGGGGCAACCCUGAUCCAGCCAUGCCGCGUGAGUGAAGAAGGCCUUCGGGUUGUAAAGCUCUUUCGGCCGGGAAGAAAUCGUAUCAGCUAAUACCUGGUGCGGAUGACGGUACCGGCAUAAGAAGCACCGGCUAACUACGUGCCAGCCGCCGCCGUAACAC